GCCUAAGGAUGAAUCUGCGGGCUAUCAGGUUGUACUCAGGGUAAAGACCUGACUAGGCUACGACGGAUACGGGUUGUGAGAGCAAUAACUCGGAUACGAUAUCUGACACACGAUAUCGGGCCCUACGGGGCGAAGCAUGCGCGAAAACUUCACACUGUGCGAAAGCGCGAUGAGGGAAUCCCAAGUGUUUGCUCGUAAAAGUAAACUGUUUUCUUGUUUAAAAC
rnacentral:rRNA from 1 species